AAAAAACUGAAAAACAACUAAUCAAAUUACUAAGUUCAAAGCUUUAUCCAGAGGAUUAAUUGGAACAUCUGAAAAGGCAUUGCAACAAUGGCUUAAAUAAGAACAAAUCAAAUCCCACAUAAUCUGGGAUGAGACAAAUUGAAAAAAAAAGAGUUUUUUAAAACUGAUAAAAAUUCUUCAUAAAACGUUCAUGAGGCGUUAAGAAGGAUACACAGUAAGAGAUUUCUUCUCAAAAGCCAAAACCACAACAACAACAGAAAAUCAACUUUUUCUCAAAAAGCCUAAAGAACAACACAUCACAAUAAGAGAUUUCUCCUAAAAAACCUGAACCACAAAAAUAACAGCAAAAGCAACUUUUUUUUCUCAAAAAGCCUAAAGAAUAACAUAAACACAACAGAGUUCUUUUCAAAGAAACAAGAACAGCAACCGCACGACAAAGUUAUUUUUUUUCAAAAACCUAAAAGAACAUAACAACAACAACAUCGAACGACAACAACAUAUACACACCACUGCGAUCAAAGAAGUGGAUGAGGCGAAGCUAGUAACGACGAGAAACAAAGCAGAAACGAGAGGGAAGGUAAACUUAUCUUUGGUCGCCGGAAAGCACGUCAGACGAGAAACAAAGCAGAAACGAGAGGGAAGGUAAACUUAUCUUUGGUCGCCGGAAAGCACGUCACCGAACGAACUCCGGUCAGGUAGAUUUCUUCACGCCUUGACUAAUCCAGUGCACUUUUGUAUCCUCCUGUUUACGCUGAUUGAAACCCCUAACGUCUGGGUUUGAAAUAACGCUCCAUCACCACCUAAUUUAGGGUUUUACUUUAGGGUUUUGAUCGAUACGCCUCUUAGACCGCUCACGCCUUGUCGAUUUAUGCCGAAUCCUUGGCCUAAUCGCUCUGAGCUAGCUUGGCUGAUAUUAUUAUUCGAUUCUAGGGUUCGGUUUGGGGACCCCGAUUCAUGCAUUUGAGAUGAAGUAAUGAGGGAUUUGAGUUUGGAUUCAUACUUAGGAGAGUGUUUUAAUGGAGAAGAUGGAGUUUUGGUUUUGUUCGCCAAAGUAGAGGG
rnacentral:lncRNA from 1 species